CCUACGGGUGGCAGCAGUGGGGAAUAUUGCACAAUGGGGGAAACCCUGAUGCAGCGACGCCGCGUGAGUGAAGAAGUAUUUCGGUAUGUAAAGCUCUAUCAGCAGGGAAGAAAAUGACGGUACCUGAUUAAGAAGCCCCGGCUAACUACGUGCCAGCAGCCGCGGUAAUACGUAGGGGGCAAGCGUUAUCCGGAUUUACUGGGUGUAAAGGGAGCGUAGACGGCAGCACAAGUCUGGAGUGAAAUGCCGGGGCUUAACCCCGGAACUGCAUUUGAAACUGUAGGUCUUGAGUGCUGGAGAGGCAAUCGGAAUUCCGUGUGUAGCGGUGAAAUGCGUAGAUAUACGGAGGAACACCAGUGGCGAAGGCGGAUUGCUGGACAGUAACUGACGCUGAGGCGCGAAAGCGUGGGGAGCAAACAGGAUUAGAUACCCGUGUAGUC
rnacentral:rRNA from 1 species